UUGUAUGAGAUCUCCAGCCGCCCAUCCGAACGUUGUCCUGGCUCACUUCCCCGGAGCCAGGCGGACGUCCGGAUAGGCGCGGAUGGGGAUCUGGUUCAAGAAA
rnacentral:ncRNA from 1 species